rnacentral:rRNA from 1 species
UGAGUAGCUUGCUAUGAGCUGUUUUAGCGGCGGACGGGUGAGUAACACGUAAGGAACCUGCCUAUUAGAGGGGAAUAACAACGAGAAAUCGUUGCUAAUACCGCAUAAGCUAGUAGUACCGCAUGGUACAGCUAGAAAAGGAGAAAUCCGCUAAUAGAUGGCCUUGCGUCCGAUUAGCUAGUUGGUGGGGUAACGGCCUACCAAGGCAACGAUCGGUAGCCGAGCUGAGAGGCUCAACGGCCACAUUGGGACUGAGAUACGGCCCAGACUCC